rnacentral:rRNA from 1 species
UACGGGGGGGUGCAAGCGUUGUCCGGAUUUAUUGGGUUUAAAGGGUGCGUAGGCGGCCCGUUAAGUCAGGGGUGAAAGCCCCCAGCUCAACUGGGGAAGUGCCUCUGAUACUGGUCAUCUUGAGGGAGGUAGGGGCGUGCGGAACUUCCGGUGGAGCGGUGAAAUGCGUAGAUAUCGGAAGGAACACCGGUGGCGAAAGCGGCGCGCUGGACCUCUCUGACGCUGAGGCGCGAAAGCCAGGGAGC